AUCCAACGCGUUGGGAGCUCUCCCAUAUGGUCGACCUGCAGGCGGCCGCGAAUUCACUAGUGAUUAGAGUUUGAUCCUGGCUCAGAUUGAACGCUGGCGGCAGGCCUAACACAUGCAAGUCGAGCGGUAGAGAGAAGCUUGCUUCUCUUGAGAGCGGCGGACGGGUGAGUAAUGCCUAGGAAUCUGCCUGGUAGUGGGGGAUAACGUUCGGAAACGGACGCUAAUACCGCAUACGUCCUACGGGAGAAAGCAGGGGACCUUCGGGCCUUGCGCUAUCAGAUGAGCCUAGGUCGGAUUAGCUAGUUGGUGGGGUAAUGGCUCACCAAGGCGACGAUCCGUAACUGGUCUGAGAGGAUGAUCAGUCACACUGGAACUGAGACACGGUCCAGACUCCUACGGGAGGCAGCAGUGGGGAAUAUUGGACAAUGGGCGAAAGCCUGAUCCAGCCAUGCCGCGUGUGUGAAGAAGGUCUUCGGAUUGUAAAGCACUUUAAGUUGGGAGGAAGGGCAGUAA
rnacentral:rRNA from 1 species